rnacentral:rRNA from 1 species
CUCGUAGGUGGCCAACUAAGUCAAACGUGAAAUCCCUCGGCUUAACCGGGGAACUGCGUCUGAUACUGGAUGGCUAGAGAUUGGGAGAGGGAUGCGGAAUUCCAGGUGUAGCGGUGAAAUGCGUAGAUAUCUGGAGGAACACCGGUGGCGAAGGCGGCAUCCUGGACCAACACUGACGCUGAGGAGCGAAAGCCAGGGGAGCAAACGGGAUUAGAUACCCCGGUAGUCCUGGCCCUAAACGAUGAAUGCUUGGUGUGGCGGGUAUCGAUCCCUGCCGUGCCGAAGCUAACGCAUUAAGCAUUCCGCCGUGGGGAGUACGGUCGCAAGGCUGAA